UCUUCCCUCUUUCUUCGUGCCUAAUACAUGCAAGUCGAGCGAACGGACGAGAAGCUUGCUUCUCUGAUGUUAGCGGCGGACGGGUGAGUAACACGUGGAUAACCUACCUAUAAGACUGGGAUAACUUCGGGAAACCGGAGCUAAUACCGGAUGAUAUUUUGAACCGCAUGGUUCAAAAGUGAAAGACGGUCUUGCUGUCACUUAUAGAUGGAUCCGCGCUGCAUUAGCUAGUUGGUAAGGUAACGGCUUACCAAGGCAACGAUGCAUAGCCGACCUGAGAGGGUGAUCGGCCACACUGGAACUGAGACACGGUCCAGACUCCUACGGGAGGCAGCAGUAGGGAAUCUUCCGCAAUGGGCGAAAGCCUGACGGAGCAACGCCGCGUGAGUGAUGAAGGUCUUCGGAUCGUAAAACUCUGUUAUUAGGGAAGAACAUAUGCGUAAGUAACUGUGCACAUCUUGACGGUACCUAAUCAGAAAGCCACGGCUAACUACGUG
rnacentral:rRNA from 1 species